rnacentral:lncRNA from 1 species
AUAUAUAUAUAUAUAUAUACAAAAAAAAAAAGCAAUGUCGUUGAGAAGGAAGUUGACUUUUCCGGAGCGACAGCUGGAAGCGUGCUGGGAGCCGGGUGGGUUUAUGCAAACUGAGAUGGGUGCCGCCUCAUCCCCGCCGACCGGGCUCGCGGUGGAGCCGUUCCCCUCUUGGGUGCGGGGUCGGGGUGCGGGCAGGAGAGCCGUGCGGGGACGUGGUGCUUGUAGACGAGUUGCUCAGGCCACACGUUGGUGGACGUGGUGCUUGGAGGAGGUUCUCGGCUGCGGUGCUCAGGUCACACGUCGUGGAGGUGGUGCUUGGAGGAGGUUCUCGGCUGCGGCGCUCAGGCCACACGUCUUGGACGUGGUGCUCGGACGUGGUGCGUGGACGUGGUGCUCGACCAGGGGGUGUGAACAUGGUGCUCGACCGCGGUGCUUGGACGUGGUUCAUGGACAGGGAGCUUGGGCACGGUGCUCGACCGUGGUGCUUGGACAUGGUGACAAGGGCACAGGACUCGGACGUGGUGCGUGGACAUGGUGCUUGGGCACGGUGCUCAGACGUGGUGCGUGGACAUGGUGACAUGGCACAGUACUCGGACGUGGUGCGUGGACAUGGUGCUUGGGCACGGUGCUCAGCCACGCAUCACGGACGCGGUGCUUUGACACGGUGCUCAGCCACGCAUCAUGGACAUGGUGCUUGGGCACGGUGCUCAGACAUGGUGCUUGGACAUGGUGACCGACCACGGUGCAUGGAUGUGUUGCUCGGGCACGGUGCUUGGACAUGGUGCGUGGACAUGGUGCUUGGGCACGGUGCUCAGCCACGCAUCAUGGACAUGGGGCCUGGGCAUGGUGCUUGGAUGUGGUGCGUGGACGUGGUGCUCUGGCAUGGUGCUUGGCCGCACAUCAUGGACGUGGUGCUCGGGCACGGUGCUUGGACGUGGUGCGUGGAUGUGGCACUUGGGCACGGUGCUCGGCCACGCGUCACGGACAUGGUGCUCGAGCACGGUGCUCGGACAUGGUGUGUGGACACGGUGCUUGGCCAAGGUGUGUGAACGUGGUGCUUGGCCACUGUGCUUGACCACGGUGCUUGGACAUGGUGCAUGGACAUGGUGCUUGGGCGUGGUGCUCAGCCGUGCACUGUGGACAUGGUGCUCGGGCACAGUGCUCAACCGUGGUGCUCAGAUGUGCUGUGUGGACAAGGUGCUUGGGUACGGUGCUCGGUCACGCGUUGUGGACGUGGUGCUUGGUCAUGGUGCUCAGCCAUGGUGCUUGGACAUGGUGCGUGGACAUGGUGCUUGGGCACGGUGCUCGGCCACGCAUCGUGGACAUAGUACUUGGGCAUGGUGCUUGGACGUGGCGUGUGAACGUGGUGCUUGGCCAUGUAUCAAGGACAUGGUGCUUGGCCACGGUGGUUGGGCAUGGUGC